rnacentral:rRNA from 1 species
AGUCACUGACAUUAGAUACCCUGUAGUCCCAGCCGUAAACAAUGUGCGUUAGGUGUGUCGGUAACCACGUGUUACUGAUGCGCCGAAGAGAAAUCGUGAAACGCACCACCUGGGAAGUACGGUCGCAAGGCUGAAACUUAAAGGAAUUGGCGGGGGAGCACCACAACAGGUGGAGCCUGCGGUUUAAUUGGAUUCAACGCCGGACAUCUCACCGGAUAAGACAGCUGAAUGAUUGUCAAUCUGAAGGUUUUACAUGACUAGCUG